CUCCUCCUCUUCCUGCCGCCGCCGCGCCGCCUCCUGCUCGCGCCGCACCAGUGCCAGGAAGGCCUGGGGGAGACGGGGGCUUGAGGCCCAGCGGCCGGGGAGUGCACCCCACAGCCCCGCGCCCUGGGCGGCACCCUCACCUCUCUCUGCAGCUGCUCCAUCUGCUCCAGGAGGAAAGCUUUAGGAGUGCUGAAGCAGUGCUGCAGUUGUCACCCUCCCCCCACCUCCCCCUUCCUUCUCAACAUCUGUCUAGCCAAUAAAUAAUAAAUAAAUAAAACAUCUUUUUUAAAAGUC